GGCCUGGUAGCACAACUGGUUAGUGCAUCUGCUUAAGAUUCAAUAUGAUGCAAGUGGGUUUCAGCAGAAGAUCCCUGUUCGAUCCGGGGUCAGGCCA